rnacentral:rRNA from 1 species
AGAGUUUGAUCAUGGCUCAGAGCGAACGCUGGCGGCAUGCUUAACACAUGCAAGUCGCACGGGCAGGGGCAACUCUGUCAGUGGCGGACGGGUGAGUAACGCGUAGGUAUCUAUCCUUGGGUGGGGGACAACCGUGGGAAACUACGGCUAAUACCGCAUGAUAACUGAGGUUUAAAGGCGCAAGUCGCCUGGGGAGGAGCCUGCGUACGAUUAGCUAGUUGGUGGGGUAAAGGCCUACCAAGGCGACGAUCGUUAGCUGGUCUGAGAGGAUGAUCAGCCACAUUGGGACUGAGACACGGCCCAAACUCCUACGGGAGGCAGCAGUGGGGAAUAUUGGACAAUGGGCGCAAGCCUGAUCCAGCAAUGCCGCGUGUGUGAAGAAGGUCUUCGGAUUGUAAAGCACUUUCGACGGGGACGAUGAUGACGGUACCCGUAGAAGAAGCCCCGGCUAACUUCGUGCCAGCAGCCGCGGUAAUACGAAGGGGGCUAGCGUUGCUCGGAAUGACUGGGCGUAAAGGGCGCGUAGGCGGAUGGCACAGUCAGAUGUGAAAUUCCCGGGCUUAACCUGGGGGCUGCAUUUAAUACGUGUGAUCUGGAGUGAGGAAGAGGGUCGUGGGAAUUCCCAGUGUAGAGGUGAAAUUCGUAGAUAUUGGGAAGAACACCGGUGGCGAACGCGGCGACCUGGUCCUUGACUGACGCUGAGCGCGAAAGCGUGGGGAGCAAACAGAUUAGAUACCCUGUAGUCCACGCUGUAAACGAUGUGUGCUGGAUGUUGGGCGACCUAGUCGCUCAGUGUCGUAGCUACGCGAUAGCACCACCGCCUGGGAGUACGCCGCAAGUUGAAACUCAAGGAAUUGACCGGGGGCCCGCACAGCGGUGGAGCAUGUGUUUAAUUCGAAGCCACGCCCCAAAAUCUU